CAACGACUGAAGGCCUUUUCGGCUUUAGUCCAAUUGUGUCAUUAAGAAUAGCACUACUUGUGCUUGUCCUCAGCUCUUCCCCAGUAGCUGCCUUAAUGCCAUCCAAUCUGGGAGUUCAUCUUCUAGCACUGUAUCUUUUAAAAUUAAUUAUCUGUGCAAAAUCAGACAGAGCAUCCUGUCAUGGAAAACAGGUUCCAGUCAAACCAUGUAAGCUGAGGAGACCUGUCUGAAGAAAGGGAAACCAAAUCUCCCCUCAGGGUUUAUUUAUGUUACUUGAGGCUCAGCUACGAAGUAAUUACUCUCAUUGGAGAAAACUAUGUAAUCUAUGGGGGUGAAGUUAAGAGCCAGUUUUUCUUCAUGUACUGAAGCAAUCCACACAAAACAUUUACACUAUUAAAUAUUUCUAUUUUCCAUUCAGUAAAUGUUUUUUGUUCAGCUCAAUUGACCUUGUAUUUCUAGGUUUUUAAAAAGGGAUUUCUAUUUAUCUCAUAAAUAUUACAGCCUUCGGAAGCACAUAGCAUACAUGGUACCAACUCUUUAAGGCAAGUUUGUGCCCUCCCCUUUUACAUGGUUGUGGGUAGUUGUUUAAAGAAUCCAUAGGAGAAGUCAGAGUGGAAGACUGGACAUUCUCUGGUUCAUAAGGCAGCUGCCUCAGAAAGCUUCCAUUGUCCGUCCCCCUAUCCUUCCAUAGUUGCCACAGCAUCAAUGGUACUUUAAACAGUAGCAAACCCAUGGAACAAACCCAUCCAACAGUGGGGGAAAGAACUAAUAGAUACUUGAAAUACUAUUCAGAAGUGGAGUUCAUUUGCUUGAUUCAGAUAGCUGGAAUUUUACAGUUUGAAAUGCAUACCAGUCAUGUUUCUUGCAUAGAACUCAGUAAAAAAUCCUGAUAGCACAAAACACACCUGAUACACAUGUGUGACUUAACAUUUCUAAGAAUAUUUGAUAGAAAAUAAUGAUCAUGAGCUACAAAGUGUUUCCUUUAUGGCACAAGGUUCAUAGAGCAAGGCAGAAUGGAGUAAUUUCAUGUUGGGAAGUUUUCAUAUAUUUCUCUGUGCCCACAUUUUGAGGAUGAAUAAUGGUGGAUAAGAAAACACGACUCACUGAACUGAGAGAAGAAGUCACAGAAUAAAGUUCAUCAUAGGCAAUUUGUCACCUUCACAUUGAAUCUCUCAUUAGCUUCAGCAAAGCUAGACCUAUCUUUGUCCAGAUGAAAGCACCUGCUUCCAGAUCUCAUUUCCUUUUGUGGAAUAAGUGUAAUCACAGACACCUGUUCAAGAUGCAAAGGAUUUGACCCCCUAUGGACAUUCUGGUCUUAUUUUUGUCAUCUUCCACGUCAGCUUAUGUUGACAAAUGUCCCUCUCUUCUUUUCUACCAAAGGGAGAUAUAUUUUUAACUCUGCAUGUCACCUUGUUCUUUUUCCCAUCACCUCUUGACAUGGGAGAGCUGGAAAUAAGCUGUAACUUCCAUAAAGCUGAGAAAGUUGCAUCUUCCUUCCUUCCUGCAGCUAUAAAAUGCUGUGCUUAGACCCGACUUGAAGAAUAAUUUCAUGCAUGCUUAAGCUUUUGAUCUCUGCUUAUGAAUGGGCACAGCUUCUUCCUGGAGGGUCCCCCACCUCCAUUCAUUGCUUGGAAACUUCUCAUAAAUUAUGGGCGACUUAUUUAUUGACUGUGAAAUCUCACCAUCCCAGAAGUGAAGGAGCUAGCCUGAACAAGUACUUUUAUCUUGCUAUUUUCCACCAGUAUUGACAGAGCUAUCCCAUCCUUGAGAUAUCUUAGUUAUUAGAUUUUUUAAAAAGGCUAACUUUCUUCCAUUACUGCAUUGUCCUUCCCAUUCAGACUCUUGACCAGACUCAGAGCUGCGUAGCUUUAGCAAAACUGCUGCGUUAUGUGCACUCUCACCAAAUCUUGGACUAGUUAUUGUCUCUCAUUCUCUAUACUUAUGUCAUUAAGAGCCACCUCAUUUGUUGUUUUUAAAAAAUUCAUUCUGUGGAAAAAUUUUCAGCCUAAAUUGGAUAUAUACAUUUUAUGAUGACAUUUACCAGUUGUUUCUAAUGUGUUAUCUUGGGCACAGGCAAAUCCAUCCGGCAGCUCCUUCUCCUAGGUAUGGGUUCCAGGUAUGGAAGAGGGAAGUGUGAAGUGAUGGGCGUGUUCAUUUAUACCUGUGAAAUGCAAGGAAGGCAACAAGUUGAUUUGAGAAUGGUCCAUCCUUCCUUUGGCCAAGGUUUCCUAGUGAUGUAGUGGAACUGUAGAUCCUACCUGCCCCCCUCCCC